CCAGACUCCUACGGGAGGCAGCAGUGGGGAAUAUUGCACAAUGGGGGAAACCCUGAUGCAGCGACGCCGCGUGAGUGAGGAAGUAUUUCGGUAUGUAAAGCUCUAUCAGCAGGGAAGAAAAUGACGGUACCUGACUAAGAAGCCCCGGCUAACUACGUGCCAGCAGCCGCGGUAAUACGUAGGGGGCAAGCGUUAUCCGGAUUUACUGGGUGUAAAGGGAGCGUAGGCGGCUGAGUAAGCCAGAAGUGAAAGCCCGGGGCUCAACUCCGGGACCGCUUAUGGAACUGCAUGGCUUGAGUGCAGGAGAGGCAAGUGGAAUUCCUAGUGUAGCGGUGAAAUGCGUAGAUAUUAGGAGGAACACCAGUGGCGAAGGCGGCUUGCUGGACCGUAAAUGACGCUGAGGCUCGAAAGCGUGGGGAGCAAACAGGAUUAGAUACCCGAGUA
rnacentral:rRNA from 1 species